UCGAACGGUAACAGGAUGUGCUUGCACAUCGCUGACGAGUGGCGGACGGGUGAGUAAUGCUUGGGAACUUGCCUUUGCGAGGGGGAUAACAGUUGGAAACGACUGCUAAUACCGCAUAAUGUCUUCGGACCAAACGGGGCUUCGGCUCCGGCGCAAAGAGAGGCCCAAGUGAGAUUAGCUAGUUGGUAAGGUAACGGCUUACCAAGGCGACGAUCUCUAGCUGUUCUGAGAGGAAGAUCAGCCACACUGGGACUGAGACACGGCCCAGACUCCUACGGGAGGCAGCAGUGGGGAAUAUUGCACAAUGGGGGAAACCCUGAUGCAGCCAUGCCGCGUGUGUGAAGAAGGCCUUCGGGUUGUAAAGCACUUUCAGUUGUGAGGAAAAGUUAGUAGUUAAUACCUGCUAGCCGUGACGUUAACAACAGAAGAAGCACCGGCUAACUCCGUGCCAGCAGCCGCGGUAAUACGGAGGGUGCGAGCGUUAAUCGGAAUUACUGGGCGUAAAGCGCACGCAGGCGGUUUGUUAAGCUAGAUGUGAAAGCCCCGGGCUCAACCUGGGAUGGUCAUUUAGAACUGGCAGACUAGAGUCUUGGAGAGGGGAGUGGAAUUCCAGGUGUAGCGGUGAAAUGCGUAGAUAUCUGGAGGAACAUCAGUGGCGAAGGCGACUCCCUGGCCAAAGACUGACGCUCAUGUG
rnacentral:rRNA from 1 species